AACGAACGCUGGCGGCAUGCCUAACACAUGCAAGUCGAACGAGACCUUCGGGUCUAGUUGCGCACGGGUGCGUAACGCGUGGGAACCUGCCCUUAGGUUCGGAAUAACUCCUCGAAAGGGGUGCUAAUACCGGCUAAUGUCUUCGGACCAAAGAUUUAUCGCCUUUGGAUGGGCCCGCGUUGGAUUAGCUAGUUGUUAGGGUAAAAGCCUACCAAGGCGACGAUCCAUAGCUGGUCGUAGAGGAUGAUCAGCCACACUGGGACUGAGACACGGCCAAGACUCCUACGGGAGGAAGCAGUGGGGAAUAUUGGACAAUGGGAGCGAGCCUGAUCCAGCAAUAGCGCGUGGGUGGUACAGGCCUGAGGGUUGUAAAGCUCUUUUAGCCGGGAUGAUAGUGACAGUACCGGGAGAAUAAGCUGCGGCUAACUACGUG
rnacentral:rRNA from 1 species